AUACGUAGGUGGCAAGCGUUGUCCGGAAUUAUUGGGCGUAAAGCGCAUGUAGGCGGUUUGGUAAGUCGGUCGUGAAAAUGCGGUGCUUAACGCCGUAUGGCGAUUGAAACUGCUGAACUUGAGUGCAGGAGAGGAAAGGGGAACUCCCAGUGUAGCGGUGAAAUGCGUAGAUAUUGGGAAGAACACCGGGGGCGAAGGCGCCUUUCUGGACUGUGUCUGACGCUCAGAUGCGAAAGCCAGGGUAGCGAACGGGAUUAGAUACCCCGGUAGUCCUGGCCGUAAACGAUGGGUACUAGGUGUGGGAGGUAUCGACUCCUUCCGUGCCGGAGUUAACGCAAUAAGUACCCCGCCUGGGGAGUACGGCCGCAAGGCUUAAACUCAAAUGAAUUGGCGGGG
rnacentral:rRNA from 1 species